ensembl:snRNA U6 U6 spliceosomal RNA
AUGCGUCGGCAGCACAUAUACUAAAAUUGGAACAAUACAGAGAAGAUUCGCAUGGCCCCUGUGCAAGGAUGACAUGCAAAUUUGUGAAGUGUUCCAUUUUUUU